rnacentral:rRNA from 1 species
GACGAGGAGGCGAGCGUUGUCCGGAUUCAUUGGGCGUAAAGAGCGCGCAGGCGGCUUGGUAAGUCGGAUGUGAAAACCCGAGGCUCAACCUCGGGCGUGCAUCCGAUACUGCUCGGCUAGAGGUAGGUAGGGGAGAGUCGGAAUUCCUGGUGUGAGCGGUGGAAAUGCGCAGAGUAUCAGGAGGAACACCCGUGGCGAAGGCGGCUCUCGUGGGACGGUACUGACGGCUGAGACGCGAAAGCGUGGGGAGCAAACAGG